rnacentral:rRNA from 1 species
GAUGAACGCUGGCGGCGUGCCUAACACAUGCAAGUCGAGCGGCAGCGAGGGGUGCUUGCACCCUGUCGGCGAGCGGCGGACGGCUGAGUAACGCGUGGGAACGUGCCCCAAAGUGAGGAAUAACUGCCCGAAAGGGUAGCUAAUACCGCAUAUUAUCUUCGGAUCAAAGGAUUUAUCCGCUUUGGGAGCGGCUCGCGUCGGAUUAGGUAGUUGGUGAGGUAAUGGCUCACCAAGCCGACGAUCCGUAGCUGGUCUGAGAGGAUGACCAGCCAGACUGGAACUGAGACACGGUCCAGACUCCUACGGGAGGCAGCAGUGAGGAAUCUUCCACAAUGGGCGAAAGCCUGAUGGAGCAACGCCGCGUGCAGGACGAAGGCCUUCGGGUUGUAAACUGCUUUUAUAAGUGAAGAAUAUGACGGUAACUUAUGAAUAAGGAUCGGCUAACUACGUG